UGGACCAAUGAUGAUGGACGUGACGGGAAGAGUCUUGAACGAUGAAAACAUUUCUGAAAUGCUGAGGUCCAA